rnacentral:rRNA from 1 species
UGGUGCCAGCAGCCGCGGUAAUUCCAGCUCCAAUAGCGUAUAUUAAAGUUGUUGCAGUUAAAAAGCUCGUAGUUGAAACUUGGGCCUGGCUGGCAGGUCCGCCUCACCGCGUGUACUUGUCCGGCCGGGCCUUCCUUCUGGAGAACCUCAUGCCCUUCACUGGGUGUGUUGGGGACCAGGACUUUUACUUUGAAAAAAUUAGAGUGUUCAAAGCAGGCCUUUGCUCGAAUACGUUAGCAUGGAAUAAUAGAAUAGGACGUGCGGUCCUAUUUUGUUGGUUUCUAGGACCGCCGUAAUGAUUAAUAGGGACAGUCGGGGGCAUCAGUAUUCAAUUGUCAGAGGUGAAAUUCUUGGAUUUAUUGAAGACUAACUACUGCGAAAGCAUUUGCCAAGGAUGUUUUCAUUAAUCAGUGAACGAAAGUUAGGGGAUCGAAGACGAUCAGAUACCGUCGUAGUCUUAACCGUAAACUAUGCCGACUAGGGAUCGGGCGAUGUUCUUUUUCUGACUCGCUC